GCACUCGCGGUGCAUCGGGGAACCUGGUGGCCAGCAGCGGCGGGGUGCAUGAGCGGCGCGGACGUAAUUUCGGGAAUGUUGCAGUUGAUCUGAAAUACCCAUAUUGCCUCUGAAGAAAAGAACACCCAGAGAACAUUUACAGUUGGAUAUUUUUAAUGUUCAUGAGAUGUCUCCUAGAACUGUUCUCCUGAUGCCAUGGAUAUUCUGCUUCUUAAAGGACUGGUGUUGGUCUUGGUCAGUUGUUUUACUGGGCUUCUUUACUACCGUCCCACUACCAUUUUUUUUAACUGGGAAAGAACAGUUUACAAGAAACCAAAUUUCAUAGUAAUUUUGGCAGACGAUGUAGGAUGGGGAGAUUUUGGAGCCAACUGGGACCUACAAAAAGACACACCUAAUUUGGAUAAGAUAGCCCAGGAAGGAAUGAGAUUUGUAGAUUUCCAUUCAGCUGCAUCUACCUGUUCCCCAUCACGUGCCUCUCUGCUUACAGGACGUCUUGGCCUUCGUAAUGGCGUGACCCACAAUUUUGCUGUGUCUUCAGUGGCAGGCCUUCCAUUGAACGAGACGAUAUUGGCAGAAAUUCUGAAAGAAGCUGGGUACCUCACCGCUAUGAUAGGGAAAUGGCACUUGGGACAUCAUGGCCCUUUCCAUCCCAGCUUUCGUGGUUUUGAUUUUUAUUUUGGUAUACCAUAUAGCCCUGAUAUGGGCUGUACUGACACUCCAGGUUAUAACCUCCCUCCCUGCCCGGCUUGUCCCAGAUGCUCCACAACAGUCAAUAACCAUCAGAAAAACUGCUAUCCUGAAAUUGCACUUCCUCUUUUUGAAAACCUUACAAUUGUCCAACAGCCUGUAAACUUAACUACCUUAGCGGCGAGGUUUACAGAAAAAGUUAUUCAUUUCAUCCAUUAUGCCAGUCAGAAGGGCCUCCCUUUCUUCCUAUAUCUUGCUCUGGCUCAUAUGCAUGUGCCUUUGGUUUUGUCUGAGGCACCUUGGAAUCCAUUUUGCCAAGAUCCCUAUGGAACAUACUUGAAGGAAAUGGAUGCUUUGGUGGGACAGAUAAAGGAUGCGGUUGACAGCACAGCAAAGGAAGAUACUCUCCUCUGGUUUACAGGAGACAACGGUCCUUGGUCUGAGAAGUGUGACUACGCAGGAAGUGUUGGUCCAUAUACAGGGAUGUGGCAAAGAAGAAAAGGUGGUAGCUCAGCAAAACAGACAACCUGGGAAGGAGGACACCGCGUGCCCACAGUUGCAUAUUGGCCAGGGAAGAUCCCAGCAAACGUGACGAGCGCUUCGAUGUUAAGCACUUUAGACAUAUUUCCUACAUUGGUAUCUCUAGCGAAUGCUACCCUUCCUCCCAACAGACGUUUUGAUGGGAUAGAUAUCUCUGAAGUCCUGUUCGGGUACUCAAGCAAAGGACACCAGACAUUAUUCCAUCCCAACAGUGGUGCAGCUGGAAAAUACGGAGAAAUACAGUCUCUUCGGUUGGACCAAUAUAAAGCCUUUUAUCUUACAGGUGGUGCCAAAGCAUGUGAUGGAAGCAUUGGUCAGGAAGUACAUCAUCAGCCACCUCUCAUUUUUAACUUGCAGCAUGAUAUUCAAGAGCAAGAGCCGAUGGACAUUCACAGUGCCGAGUAUCGUUCUGUCUUGCCAUUGGUAAAUAAGGCCCUUAUGGAUAUUCUUCAGGAUAUUGCAUCAGAUAAUGCCUCUAUAGCAGAUUAUUCUCACGAUGCAGAUGCGAUCCCCUGUUGCAACCCCCAACACUUGGCCUGCAGAUGUGAAUCGACUUAUGCUAACUUAUCUUUGGAAAAAUGUUAAACAACUUCGGAGUUUGCAACCUUCUGUGUCCUCCCAGGAGAGCUAGAAGUCACGUGGACAAAACUGCUACAAAAUUUACAACAUUCUAGAGAGAAGACAACUUUUAUCAUAUCCAGAACAAUUCCAAGUAGAGAAUGAUACAUACCAUCAUCUCUGUAAUGACAUGUUUAUUGUAUUGGUUCACAAUAAAAGACAAAUAAGGCACAUCAGAAAAUGUGGUAUAUUAGUGGAUUAUGGAUCUCUGGUAAUAGUAUGUACUGUUUUUAUUAUUAUUUAUAAUAAUAAUCUGGCUAACUUUGUGCCAAAUCUUAAUAUUAUGUAUUUCAUUUAGCAUCUUAUGUCUAGUAUGGUAAAAUUAAUUCAACUCCCUUUGGCCUUGUGCACAUCUACAUAGUUUUCUUGGCAAUAAUAUAUUUCCAAAUAUAGACAAUACUCCUUCCUCCUCCUAUUUCCCCCCACAUCAACAACCACUCUGUGAGUUGAGUUUGGUUAACAGAGGGUAACUAGCGAACAAGUUGUACUGAAAGUGGAUAGAGACUGCAACCCUUCACCGUAUAAUGUAUAAGGGCCCAUUUUAAGGAAUAUUGGAUUUGAAAGGUUUUCGUCUCUGAUUUCAGGAUGGAAGCUAUUAAUGGGAGAGAAACCAAUGGAAAUAAUUUCUCCAUUGCUUCUGCUCUCCUGAUAGAAACCUAGCAGGACUUAGAAACCUUGUAAGUUUUGAUGUUGAAGUGUUAGAAAAUGAAAGGUAGGAUUAAUUUGGAUAAGAAACACAGAGACGUCUUACAGGCUGUUUAUUGAAGUCCCAUGUUUCUGUUUAUUAAAUUUAGAUGCUGUCCAAAUCGCAUCAACUCUGGGAGGUUUACAAAAUGUUUUAUUAAAAAAAAA